AUUGAACGCUGGCGGCAGGCUUAACACAUGCAAGUCGAGCGGAGAUGAGGUGCUUGCACCUUAUCUUAGCGGCGGACGGGUGAGUAAUGCUUAGGAAUCUGCCUAUUAGUGGGGGACAACAUUCCGAAAGGAAUGCUAAUACCGCAUACGUCCUACGGGAGAAAGCAGGGGAUCUUCGGACCUUGCGCUAAUAGAUGAGCCUAAGUCGGAUGAGCUAGUUGGUGGGGUAAAGUCCUACCAAGGCGACGAUCUGUAGCGGGUCUGAGAGGAUGAUCCGCCACACUGGGACUGAGACACGGCCCAGACUCCUACGGGAGGCAGCAGUGGGGAAUAUUGGACAAUGGGGGGAACCCUGAUCCAGCCAUGCAGCGUGUGUGAAGAAGGCCUUAUGGUUGUAAAGCACUUUAAGCGAGGAGGAGGCUACUGAGACUAAUACUCUUGGAUAGUGGACGUUACUCGCAGAAUAAGCACCGGCUAACUCUGUGCCAGCAGCCGCGGUAA
rnacentral:rRNA from 1 species